GCGGCACUGUGGGUGGUAGGUAGAUUAUGUCUCUCUCUGCAGCACUGUGGUGUGGUAGGUAGAUUAUGUCUCUCUCUGCAGCACUGUGGUGUGGGUAGGUAGAUUAUGUCCUCUCUGCGACACUGGUGGUGUGGUGGGUAGAGGUAAUUAUGUCUCUCUGCGGCACUGUGGUGUGGUAGGUAGAGGUAGAUUAUGUCUCUCUGCGGCACUGUGGUGUGGUAGGUAGAUUAUGUCUCUCUGCGGCACUGUGGUUGGUAGGUAGAGGAGAUUAUGUCUCUCUGCGCACUGUGGUGUGGUAGGUAGAGGUAGAUUAUGUCUCUCUGCGGCACUGUGGUGUGGUAGGUAGAGGUAGAUUUAGUCUCUCU
rnacentral:lncRNA from 1 species